ACCCACCCGCCGCCGCCGCCCCAGGAAACCCCAACCCACCCAUCGCCGGGGACCACCCAACCGCCGCCGCCCUCAACCCCAGGCGCCGUGGCCCCCGACCCCAGCCGUCGCCGCCCGGCCAAUCCCGGGCGUCGCUGCCCCUUGAAAUCCCCCGAUCCGGAAUCACGCCAGCCAGCCACCCCACCCAUCGCGGCCGCGCCUUCUACCAUGACGCCGUCGCAAGCCUUCUACGGUGAUGCUGACACCGGCCUCCUCUCGCAGCACCGCCGGCGCUCUGCUGGUAGAAGUUCAAGGCCGGAUCCGGAGGAAGUUCUGAGGAAUGCUCCUGACACCUACUACAGUGCGCUAGAGCUGCCAUCCGCCCCUGCUCGCUGCCCCGCGUGAGGAUCCUACGGGAGAAGGCGAGAUUGACCCGCCCAACCAUUGACUCCUCCCGGGCUCUGCCGCCCUGCUACCAUGAUCCACCGCCCCCUGCACCAACGCCCUUGCUCCCCAAAGCAGCCGCCCAGGGUCAUUACACCGUCUGCAGUGCAUCUAGCCCAACACACCAUGCUCCUCAACUCUCUCAUCUGACCCUCCUGCCUUGGCAUCCCUCGCGUGUGACCUUCUCCAGCGCCUCUGAUCGACCUUCCCGUCAUCUCUUGCUUGAACCCGUGCACCACUGCUUCUGAAUCAGCUCUACUCGUUCGAAGCUACAGAGCAUUUUCUUUAGGGUAGUGGAGAGCACCCUCACCCUUAUCCGAUCUGCAGCGCCGCCUGACUCGUCCCAACGCAACCCCAAGACGUUCAACUACGCAGCCCCGGGCCGUUCAACGACAGAGCCGCUGGAAGUUCAUGAACACAUCACCUGGAUCCUGCUGCCCACCAUCCAGUUGCUAUUUGCCGGAAAGAUUUAUGCAUACUGGGAUCUCCAUGUACUGAACAUGUUAGAAAGAUAUCUCAUGUCUAUUCGUCUCUCGUGUGCUGCAGCCCCUUAGCUCACCGUGUCUUCUCCAGCAGCCGUGGAGACAAGACCAUGCAUCCAAAAUUGUUCCUGACGGAGACACCACUCUGCUUGUUGCUACCUACAUCCCAUGGAAGACAGCGGGCACGACCUUGCUGUAGACCCUGCAUGUUGCUGCGGCCGUGCUCCUGGCUACCUAGACGUGCCCGUGCCUUUGGCUCCCGCCAGAAAAUUGGCCACCAUUGCAGGUCAGCUUCUCCUGAUGCGCCAGUCCAGCUGCGAAAAUGAAUAGUACAGGGAAGCUUCUCUAGAAAAAUGGCCACCAUUGCGGUUGGUUUCUGAAUCAAGAUGUUGCUUGUCUGAGAGUACAGGGAAGAAGAAAAGCACGGAGAAGAUAACGCAUCAGCACUGUGUGGAUAAGGUGAGAGAAGAUACCAAGGGAAUGUGUGGUGGAGAAAUUUAAAUCCGCCACUAGUUAGUGCAUCUUUUAUGUAAAAAAGGAUUGGGUGCUUGUCGUUACAGUGUGGCCAGGUCAUUUGAGAAUAUUGUUUGUAAGCGUGCAUUGUCUUCUUGCUACUGAUUCUUAUGCUCAAAUGAUCCCUAAAUUUCUAUA